AUUUGAGACCCAUCUGGUUUGCUAUUUAGUGUUAUUGUGUUGUCUGCAGUCUGGGUUUUGUGUAGAUUGUCGCUCUGUUAGUCUUUUGUUAUUAGUUACUCCAAUACAAGCCAUAUGAUGCCCCGUUUAUGUUGUAGAUAGGCAUACACUACACCAAAUAUCUUUUUUUUUUUUUUUACAGCACAUGAGUAUAAGACUAUUAGAAAAGUAUUAAAAUAACUAAUCUAAAAGUUGGUAGAGUGUAAAAGGCGGGCCUAAAAAAUUAUUGAGCGCCAAAGUAAAAGGCAAAAUGAAAUUUUUUUCUCUCUCCCAAAUAAGUCUCCCUCUGAUAGCUCUUCUCUCACAUCCUUCACAUUCUCUUACAAUCUAGGUCUUUUGGAAAAAGUCUUAGAAAGCCCAUGUCCUUUUGGCCAGUUAAGAUGAGUAGAACGAUCUCAUUUGCUCUAGUCUUCAUUCUCUGUUCUCAUAUUAGGUUCAUUCUCUUUCAUUCUUUUUUAUGUUCUCUCUUAUAAGGGUAGAGGUAAGUUUUCUGUGGUUUCUUUUUCCUUUUUAAUCAAAUAAAGUCAUAUGAGUUUGAUCUGUUCUGACUUUAUAUGGGUUUGUUCUAUUAUGAGUUUCCAAAUAUAUGGAUAAAGUUUAUGAGAUAUUCAAAGUUUAUUUUGUAUUUUUUUUUAUUUGAUCUUAUGUGAGAUUCUUAUUUAUUUAUUUUUUUGCAUUUUAAUUUUUAUAUAUUCUUUUUGGUAUUUUUUUUUAUGAUAUUGCUUAUGUGAUAUAUAUAUAUUUAUAUAUGUAUGUUAAAGUUGAUUUCAACCAAUAUUAAUUGAAAGCAUCAAAUUUGGGCAUAAUUAAUUGAUAGUAAAAAUGGCCUAUAUUGAAUUGUUCAAGAGAGAUGAGAAUUGCUUCUAUAGCCACUACUUCAACUUUUUCAAUAUCACCGCUUUUUGGUAUGUCUUCCUUUAUUUCCACUGUAUUGUUUUUUCUUUUGGUUGGUUUAAAUUAUUCUUGAGAUAUAUAUUUAAUUGAUUGGCUUUGGAUUAGAUAAGAGGAGAUUCAGUAGUCGCAAUAUAAAAAUUCCUCGGAUUGCUUUUAAAGAUCUUGUUUUUAGCGUAUGGUUAUGAAGUCCAUCAUGAACUUUGUUUAUCUAAUUCAACCAUGUAUGGUUAUUUUUUAAUUUUCAUUCUUUCCUUGUCCUUCUGGGUCUGUCUUGUUUUUAUUAUAGAGUUUGAUUUCAAUUUUAUGAAACUAAAAUUGAAAUCAAACUCUCUCUCUCUCUCUCUCUCUCUCAGAGUCUAUCAACUCUCUCUCCAUCACGGCUGCUUUGAAAUCAACUCUCUCUCUCUCUCAUAGCUAAAGCAAGACCCAGAGAGAAAAUGAGAUUUGAGAGAGAUAAUACAUAUAUUUAUAUCGAAGGGGUUGUGCAUAUUCUUGAAUUGUGGAGCUCAAUUGUACAGAUAUAUCUGCCCCUUAUCUAAACAAUACAAGAACUCACUCCAAAAUCUCAAGUUAGUCCAGAGAUUCCAGUUUCAAAAUCUCAAGCUUCGUAAUAGAGUGAAGUUCAGGGCAUCAAAACUUUCCUUGGAUGUUAAGAUAUUAUAGCCUUCAUUUUUUGAGAAAAGCUUUAAACAGAAUUAUGAACCAGGAUACCCAGCACCUCCAAAAUUUCUCUUCUAAUUGAAGCAGCAGUGACCAUUAGAACUACCUGGUGCAACAUCAGUAGAUGCUUAAGGUGAGGCCCAAUAUUUAACCAAUGAGAUGUUCAAGAAACCAUUUCUGAGAUUUUAAACAACUUUCUUUUGAUUGGAAAAUCAGAGGUAAGGGCAAGGAGAAAGUCAACCGACCAUGAGUAUGGAGAGCGUGAGGCGACGCGUACAUGUCUGGUCUGCCUGGCUGCCACGACCAGGGGUAUUUUUUUGGAAGAUGCUUGUAAUGAAC